rnacentral:rRNA from 1 species
UAGGGAAUAUUGCACAAUGGAGGAAACUCUGAUGCAGCGACGCCGCGUGAGUGAUGAAGGUCUUCGGAUUGUAAAGCUCUGUUCUAUGGGAAGAAAAAAAUGACGGUACCAUAGAAGAAAGGAUCGGCUAACUUCGUGCCAGCAGCCGCGGUAAGACGAGGGAUCCUAGCGUUGCUCGGAAUCAUUGGGCGUAAAGCGGGUGUAGGUGGCUUUGCAAGUCAGGAGUGAAAGCCCACAGCUUAACUGUGGAAGUGCUUUUGAAACUGCUUAGCUUGAGUGUGGGAGAGGUUAGUAGAAUUCCUGGUGUAGUGGUGAAAUACGUAGAUAUCAGGAGGAAUACCUGUGGGGAAGCCGGCUAACUGGCCCAACACUGACACUCAGACCCGAAAGCGUGGGGAUCAAACAGG